ensembl:lncRNA
CAAGAAUCAGUAAUUUCUAUUCAGCAAAGCCACCAAAUCAGAGAGCAGUGCAGAUCUUAUUGGAGGAGAGCCUUCAACAGCAACUAAUCCUGUCGUAUUGAAAGAAAAUUGUAAAUGUUCUCUGCAGAAAUUGCCUGCCCAUUGCAGCUAAUCGAGCCCACUUGGCGCUCUCACAUCCACACACAGCACGCAGCACCCAGACCCACAGCCGCACAGCCACCAGCACUGUGAGAUGCUCACCUGGGUGCCCUGCUCUCCUCCCUGCCACCACCCCCAUGAAGGCGGCAGCUUGUCCUCUUUUCCUUAGGAGCACUGGGGGAAAUAUGAAUAAUCAUCAGCUCACUUACGGGUCCCAGCAUCCGCUAUUUUUAAUUUCUCCAGUUUUGUCUAAACCGUUAAGCUCGGUUUGAUAGCUCCCUGUAUAUAUGUGUGUGCAUGUAUGUGUGUGCAUACAUAUAUAUGUAAUUGAAAGCUGAACUUGGCUGAGCUGAAGCAGGCUCCCAAGGGCCAGUGUCACGGAGAGUGCGGGGUGUGUGUGUGCGUGUGUGUGUGCCUGCGCAUGUGGGAGGGAGAGAGCGAGCGAGGGAGAGACAAAAACUCCAUCAACCCGGACAAUACCACCUCUCGUUUAAUGCUUCCCAACUGUUAUUCUUUCCCCUCAUUAUCACAGCACCAAGUAAUCUGUCUUUCCCCCCCUCCAACCCCCCUCCCUCCUCUUGGAAGAUAUGGAAGAGAAAGAUAAAGCGGCUGCCUGCGGGCGCUGAUGCGCGCAGCUCGCAUGCCUCCGCCGCCAGAGCCGGGGCCGCUCCGCAGCCGCCGCUCGCAGAGAGCCGCUUGCCGCGGGAUGGGAUGCAACUUCUGGUGAUUGGAUCACAGGAGCAGUUACCAAGUGCGUGGGAGGACAACAACUGUUAACCAGAAGCAGCCUUCAAGGGCAAACAGCUCUGAUCCAGGCUCUGGAGGAAGGAGGAGAGACGAUCCCCCGAUGAGGUAAAUCUUCAAAGGGUAUCAUGAAGACUAUUCUAGGCAACAGUGAAGUGCUUCCCACCCACCUCCCAACAGCUGAACAUCUUUUUGCCUCAGUUUUCAGCUUCUAGACCAGAAGGAAACAUAAACUGAUUAAUUUUUUCAUUGUUAUUGAGGUGCUGCUUAUGAACUCCUUUGUGUAACUUUUUAGAAACAAAACUACUGAAGGAAAUGUAUAGCGUAUGAGUUACAGUAAACAGACAACAUGGGUAAAAUACUGGUAAUCCUGUGAAAGUUGAGAUGGAGAGAGAAGAGUGGAAGUAGUCACACAGAGCUACUCUACUACCUUUUUGCAACUACUAUGGUUUCUGUGGAGAAUGACAAUGGAAGGAUACCCUCCAACUGAGGUAAAUCAAAGAACUCAAGCAUCUUUUUUAGAGCUUUCAUGGUAAACAGCUGGUGGCUUAGGAAAAACUGUGAUCGAUUUUUAUUAGCAAUACGAAUACCGGUCAUCUUCCAUUCGAAGCAGCUCUUGGCAGCUGUUUCUAAAUAUUAUGCAAAUUAUUGGGCAGACUGAGCAAAAGAGAGGGUGGAAUUCAGCCUGGUGGUAGCUCAUUUCCUCCAGCAGUGCUCUCCUGAUCACCAGAAUACAUGGGAUUAGAUUAAUAUCAAAGAAAACUGUAUUUUGAGAAAAUAACUGAAGUUUACCAUUUGGUUUUCUCCUGCAUUGGUGACUUCUUGGAGAUAUUCAGUAAAAUCAGACAGAUUGUACUCAAAGAUUGAAAUAGGAUGGAGAGAACCCAAGUUCAGAUCCCUGCUGCCGUGAAAUUUGCUUUGUACCAAGCACAGCAAGCUGUAAUGUCAGUAUCCAUCAGGCUAUCCAUUUGGCAAUUCUGCACAUUCCUUAUACGUACAAAACACAAGUUUUGAGUAAAAGAGAACACAAACC